AGCCUCCUGCAUAAACAACAAGAAUGCAGCAAGUGGCUUCUGGAUGGUAAGUCAACAACAAAACACUUGUCUUUUCAAGCAGCCAUUGUACCAAACAUACAAGCGGCAAAAUCAGAACAG